AGCGAACGCUGGCGGCAGGCUUAACACAUGCCAGUCGAGCGGGCACUUUCGGGUGUCCGCGGCGGACGGGUGUGUAACGCGUGGGAACGUGCCCUCUGGUUCGGAAUAACUCAGGGAAACUUGAGCUAAUACCGGAUACGCCCUUUUGGGGAAAGGCUUGCUGCCGGAGGAUCGGCCCGCGUCUGAUUAGCUAGUUGGUGGGGUAACGGCUCACCAAGGCGACGAUCAGUAGCUGGUCUGAGAGGAUGAUCAGCCACACUGGGACUGAGACACGGCCCAGACUCCUACGGGAGGCAGCAGUGGGGAAUAUUGGACAAUGGGCGCAAGCCUGAUCCAGCCAUGCCGCGUGAGUGAUGAAGGCCUUAGGGUUGUAAAGCUCUUUUAUCCGGGACGAUAAUGACGGUACCGGAGGAAUAAGCCCCGGCUAACUUCGUG
rnacentral:rRNA from 1 species